rnacentral:rRNA from 1 species
AUGAAGUUUGAAACUGUCAUGGGGGAGCAAGGCUACAAGAAGUGUAGCUCAGACCAUUGUGUGUUUAUUCAGAGGUUCUCAGGUGAUGAUUUCAUCAUAUUAUUGCUCUAUGUUGAUGAUAUCCUGAUAGUUGGCAAGAAUGUCUCUAGGAUUGCUAAGUUGAAGAAGGAGUUGAGCAAAUGUUUUGCCAUGAAAGACUUAGGUCCAUCAAAGAACAUUCUCGGAAUGAGAGUUGAGCGAGACAGAAAUUGCAACAAGUUGUACUUGUCUCAAGAGAAGUAUAUUGAGAAGGUACUUCAGAAAUUCAGGAUGGAAAAUGAUAAAGUUGUGAGUUGUGCACUAGCAGCCCAUUUCAAGUUGAGCAGAAAGCAAUGUCCUACCACUGAUGAGCAGAAAAAGGAAAUGCAUCAUGUUCCUUAUGCUUCAGCGGUUGGGAGUUUGAUGUAUGCUAUGGUGUGUACAAGGCCUGACAUUGCUCAUGCGGUUAGUACUGUGAGCAGAUUUAUGUCCAAUCCAGGAAGACCUCAUUGGAAGCCGUGA